rnacentral:rRNA from 1 species
UACGUAGGGUGCGAGCGUUAAUCGGAAUUACUGAGCGUAAAGCGUGCGCAGGCGGUUCGUUAAGUCAGAUGUGAAAGCCCCGGGCUCAACCUGGGAACUGCAUUUGAAACUGGCGGGCUUGAGUGUGGCAGAGGGGGGUGGAAUUCCGCGUGUAGCAGUGAAAUGCGUAGAGAUGCGGAGGAACACCGAUGGCGAAGGCAGCCCCCUGGGCCAACACUGACGCUCAGGCACGAAAGCGUGGGGAGCAAACAGG